rnacentral:rRNA from 1 species
CUGAAUGGGGCAACCCGGCUAUUUGAAGAAUAGUCACCCGCAAGGGGGCGAACCCGGAGAACUGAAACAUCUAAGUACCCGGAGGAGAAGAAAACAAGAGUGAUUCCGCUAGUAGCGGCGAGCGAACGCGGACCAGCCCAAACCGUAUCUGUUACGGCAGAUUCGGGGUUGUAGGACUGCGAUAUUCUGUGCUUUAUGAACUGGAACGUACUGGAAAGUGCGACGAUACAAGGUGAUAGUCCUGUACAGGUAAAGACAGUUACAGAUAGCAGUAUCCUGAGUAGUGCGGGGCACGUGAAACCCUGUAUGAAUUCGUGGGGACCAUCCCAUAAGGCUAAAUACUCCUGAGAGACCGA